rnacentral:rRNA from 1 species
CGCGUAGGCGGUUCGGUAAGUUGCUGGUGAAAUCCCGGGGCUCAACUCCGGGGCUGCCGGCACGACUGCCGGACUUGAGCACGGUAGGGGCAGAUGGAAUUCCCGGUGUAGCGGUGGAAUGCGUAGAGAUCGGGAAGAAUACCAGUGGCGAAGGCGUUCUGCUGGGCCGUUGCUGACGCUGAGGCGCGACAGCGUGGGGAGCAAACA